UCCUCCGCUUAUUGAUAUGCUUAAGUUCAGCGGGUAUUCCUACCUGAUCCGAGGUCAACAUUCAGAAGUUGGGGUUUAACGGCGUGGCCGCGACGAUUACCAGUAACGAGGGUUUUACUACUACGCUAUGGAAGCUCGACGUGACCGCCAAUCAAUUUGGGGAACGCGAAUUAACGCGAGUCCCAACACCAAGCUGUGCUUGAGGGUUGAAAUGACGCUCGAACAGGCAUGCCCGCCAGAAUACUGGCGGGCGCAAUGUGCGUUCAAAGAUUCGAUGAUUCACUGAAUUCUGCAAUUCACAUUACUUAUCGCAUUUUGCUGCGUUCUUCAUCGAUGCCAGAACCAAGAGAUCCGUUGUUGAAAGUUUUGAUUUAUUUAUGGUUUUACUCAGAAGUUACAUAUAGAAACAGAGUUUAGGGGUCCUCUGGCGGGCCGUCCCGUUUUACCGGGAGCGGGCUGAUCCGCCGAGGCAACAAGUGGUAUGUUCACAGGGGUUUGGGAGUUGUAAACUCGGUAAUGAUCCCUCCGCAGGUUCACCUACG
rnacentral:misc_RNA from 1 species